GAUGUUGGGACGUUGAACGCAGCACUAAUGGAGGAAGCUACCUGAACACAGAUAUACAUGUCAACAGUUCAGUGGGUUUAGCGCGUUGGUCGAGCGGCAGAAGGACAACAACAACAACAACAUACUAGGUUUAUUUCGCAGCACAUGGUGAAUUUGUCGGUCCUUGGAGGAGGGCAGGCAGGCAGGGCUAUGCUACUCCAGAGGUGGAUCUGUCCCACCCUCCUCUCAGCAGCAUCUGGCCACAGGUCUGCAGUAUUGAAGAAAGACACUCCGUUCAGACACAAGCUGAAGCACACGCGUCUCUUUAGGAGUCCCAGCAACACAGACGACAUGGCAGAAGAAGCGAAGAAGCUAGCAGGCUAUGCUGCGGUGGAUAAUCAUGUUCAGAACAACCAGGUGGUUGGAGUGGGCAGUGGAUCCACCAUUGUGUACGCUGUAGACAGACUAGCGGAGAGAGUUCGUCAGGAGAAGCUCAACAUAAUUUGUGUCCCCACUUCCUUCCAGGCUCGUCAGUUGAUUCUGCAGCAUGGUCUAACCCUGUCUGACCUGGAUAGACACCCAGAGCUGGACGUGGCCAUCGACGGGGCGGACGAGGUGGAUGCUGCUCUCACACUCAUCAAAGGAGGAGGAGGCUGUCUGACUCAGGAGAAGAUCGUAGCCAGCUGUGCCAAACACUUCAUCGUCAUCGCUGACUUCAGGAAGGACUCCUCAGCCCUGGGCCAGCAGUGGAAGAAGGGUGUUCCUAUUGAGGUGAUCCCUAUGGCCUACGUCCCCGUCUCCAGGACUAUAGCCAAGCGCUUCGGAGGGGAGGCAGUACUCCGUAUGGCCGUCAGUAAAGCUGUGAGUCACCAUAUACAACGCAUCCUGUUGUAAAGCUGGUCCGGUGGUAACAGACAACAGUAACUUCAUUCUGGACUGGAAGUUUGAACACAUUCACAACUGGAAGGAGGUCAAUAUCGCUAUCAAGAUGAUACCAGGUGUGGUAGAGACGGGUCUGUUUGUGGGGAUGGCAGAGAGGGUCUACUUUGGGAUGGAGGAUGGUAAUGUUGGUGUCAGAGACCCUCCAGUCAAUUGACCUGAGCCCUGCUCCAGCCCCCCCCUCCACCUGGAACCAACCAGCACCAACCAGCACCCCCCUCCACCUGGAACCAACCAGCACCCCCUCCACCUGGAACCAACCAGCACCCCCCUCCACCUGGAACCAACCAGCACCAACCAGCACCCCCCUCCACCUGGAACCAACCAGCACCCCCCUCCACCUGGAACCAACCAGCACCCCCCCUCCACCUGGAACCAACCAGCACCCCCCUCCCACCUGGAACCAACCAGCAUCAACCAGCAUCAAC